rnacentral:rRNA from 1 species
UGGCAAACGGCUGAGUAACGCGUAGGAACCUACCCCAAACUCGAGUAUAGCCCCGCGAAAGCGGGGGUAAUCCUCGAUAGCCCGUGAAGUAUUUUACUUCACGGUAAAGCUUUUGCGGUUUGGGAUGGGCCUGCGUCCUAUCAGGUAGUUGGUGAGGUAAAUGCUCACCAAGCCUAUGACGGGUAGCUGGUCUGGGAGGAUGGUCAGCCAGACUGGGACUGCGACACGGCCCAGACUCCUACGGGAGGCAGCAACUAGGAAUUGUGCGCAAUGGACGAAAGUCUGACGCCGCGACAUCGCGUGGAGGAUGAAGGUCUUCGGAUUGUAAACUCCUUUUCUUACCGAACAAGUUCUGAGUGUAGGUAAGGAAUAAGUGCCUGCUAACCACGUGCCAGAAGCAUCGGUAAUACGUGGGGCACGAGCGUUAUCCGGAUUUACUGGGCGUAAAGAGAAGCGUAGGCGGCUCAAUAAGUUUGGUGUUAAAUCUUCCGGCUCAACCGGAAACAAGCACCGAAAACUAUCGAGAUUGAGUCGAGUAGGGAAGAGGGGAAUUCCUGGUGGAGCGGUUAAAUGCGUAGAUAUCAGGAGGAAUACCAAGGGCGAAGGCACCUCUUUGGACUCGUACUGACGCUGAGGCUCGAAAGCGCGGGUAGCAAAACGGAUUAGAUACCCGUGUAGUCCACGCCGUAAACGAUCCCUGUUAGAUGUAUGUUUUGUC